UCUUGGUCAUUUAGAGGAAGUAAAAGUCGUAACAAGGUUUCCGUAGGUGAACCUGCGGAAGGAUCAUUAAAGAAAUUUAAUAAUUUUGAAAAUGGAUUUUUUUGUUUUGGCAAGAGCAUGAGAGCUUUUACUGGGCAAGAAGACAAGAGAUGGAGAGUCCAGCCGGGCCUGCGCUUAAGUGCGCGGUCUUGCUAGGCUUGUAAGUUUCUUUCUUGCUAUUCCAAACGGUGAGGGAUUUCUGUGCUUUUGUUAUAGGACAAUUAAAACCGUUUCAAUACAACACACUGUGGAGUUUUUAUAUCUUUGCAACUUUUUCUUUGGGCAUUCGAGCAAUCGGGGCCCAGAGGUAACAAACACAAACAAUUUUAUCUAUUCAUUAAAUUUUUGUCAAAAACAAGAAUUUUCGUAACUGGAAAUUUUAAAAUAUUAAAAACUUUCAACAACGGAUCUCUUGGUUCUCGCAUCGAUGAAGAACGCAGCGAAAUGCGAUACGUAAUGUGAAUUGCAGAAUUCCGUGAAUCAUCGAAUCUUUGAACGCACAUUGCGCCCCUUGGUAUUCCAGGGGGCAUGCCUGUUUGAGCGUCAUUUCCUUCUCAAACAUUCUGUUUGGUAGUGAGUGAUACUCUUUGGAGUUAACUUGAAAUUGCUGGCCUUUUCAUUGGAUGUUUUUUUUCCAAAGAGAGGUUUCUCUGCGUGCUUGAGGUAUAAUGCAAGUACGGUCGUUUUAGGUUUUACCAACUGCGGCUAAUCUUUUUUUAUACUGAGCGUAUUGGAACGUUAUCGAUAAGAAGAGAGCGUCUAGGCGAACAAUGUUCUUAAAGUUUGACCUCAAAUCAGGUAGGAGUACCCGCUGAACUUAAGCAUAUCAAUAAGCGGAG
rnacentral:rRNA from 1 species